rnacentral:rRNA from 14 species
GCCUACAGCCAUACCACCCUGAACAUGCUCUCUCUCAUCUGAUCUUGGUAGCUAAGCAGAAUCGGGCCUGGUUAGUACCUGGAUGGGAGAAAGGGAGAAGGCCCAGGGAGAAGAGGAG